rnacentral:rRNA from 1 species
UAGUACGGCGAGUGAAGAGGGAAGGGCCCAAGAUUGAAAGCUGGCGCCUUCGGCGUCCGCAUUGUAAUCUCAAGAAGUGUUUUCCGCUUCGGACCAUGCCUAAGUCCCUUGGAAAAGGGCAUCAUAGAGGGUGAUAAUCCCGUACAUGGCAUGGAGCGCCCGAAGCUUUGUGAUACGCUUUCUAAGAGUCGAGUUGUUUGGGGAUGCAGCUCAAAAUGGGUGGUAAAUGCCAUCUAAGGCUAAAUAUUGGGGAGAGACCGAUAGCGAACAAGUACAGUGAUGGAAAGAUGAAAAGAACUUUGAAAAGAGAGUUAAACAGUACGUGAAAUUGCCAAAAGGGAAGGGUAGGAGGUCAGAGAUGCGUCGCAGGAUUCAGCCUUGCUUUUGCUUGGUGAUUUUCCUGCGUUGCAGGCCAACGUCGGUUUUGGGCACUGGAGAAGGGUAGGAGGAACGUGGCACCUCUCGGGGUGUGUUAUAGCCUCCUACUGGAUACAGCGACCGAGACCGAGGAACGCAGCGUACUCGUAAGAGCGGGCCUUUUGGCACCUUUACGCUUAGGGCGUUGGCAUAAUGGCCCUCUACCACCCGUCUA